CCCUUAGAUGUUCUGGGCCGCACGCGCGCUACACUGACGGAGGCAGCGAGCAUGUCCUUCGCCGAGAGGUGUGGGGAAUCUUGUGAGUCUCCGUCGUGCUGGGGAUAGAUGGUUGCAAUUGUCGAUCUUGAACGAGGAAUUCCCAGUAAGCGCGAGUCAUCAGCUCGCGUUGAUUACGUCCCUGCCCUUUGUACACACCGCCCGUCGCUACUACCGAUUGGAUGGUUUAGUGAGACCCUCGGAUCGGUCCCGACUCGGGGUGGGCUUCUGCCCCGGUCGUGGUUUCGCCGAGAAGACGGUCAAACUUGACUAUCUAGAGGAAGUAAAAGUCGUAACA
rnacentral:rRNA from 1 species